GAACGUUAAAGACGAUGACGUUGAUAGGCCGGGUGUGUAAGCGCAGCGAUGCGUUGAGCUAACCGGUACUAAUGAACCGUGAGGCUUAACCUUACAACGCCGAAG
rnacentral:rRNA from 3 species